rnacentral:rRNA from 1 species
UACGGAGGGGGCUAGCGUUGUUCGGAAUUACUGGGCGUAAAGGGCUCGUAGGCGGUCUGUCACGUCGGGAGUGAAAACACGGGGCUUAACCCCGUGCCUGCUUCCGAUACGGGCAGACUAGAGGUAUGCAGGGGAGAACGGAAUUCCUGGUGUAGCGGUGAAAUGCGCAGAUAUCAGGAGGAACACCGGUGGCGAAGGCGGUUCUCUGGGCAUUACCUGACGCUGAGGAGCGAAAGCGUGGGGAGCGAACAGG